CUCUGAGGUUGAAGUUAAAAGACCAUUUCUGACCAAGUCUCUUUGCAGGUUUCGCUCACAUCAAAGAAAAACAGUAAACAAAUACAGUUCUACCAUACUAACAUCUUACCAAGCGCAUUGCUACUGCGUUUCCUCGAAGUUUUACGAAAGUUAAGCGGACAUACACUAUACGUUUUUGUUCUUUAACACAGUAACUUACGACAUACUAACAAAAAAUCAGCUUCCACAAAGUCGAAAGACAGAUUCAUCUGAUUAUUUUUAGCGUCGUCUACAGUCGUAUAUAUAUAUAUAUAUAUAUUUAUAACACUACCUGCUAGAUACUUUCAACAUUUUCGUUAACUUUGCUCAAACAACCCUAUAACAGCUACUAUAUAACACCUUUACUGUACUUGGAUAUGAA